rnacentral:lncRNA from 1 species
UUAUACUUAUUCUUUGGUUGAGCCAUUUUGUUUAAGGGUUGCAGAUAGUAAAAUAAGAGCAUGAAUAGUGUUGGAGGAAGAAAGAAAAAGAACAAGAAGAAAGCAGAAGAUGGAGAAAAAGUGAACCAGAAAGAGGAAGAAGAGGCCUUAAGAAAGGAUGCUGAAGAGCUCAAGGCAUGGGUAUGUACAUAUAACAAUUUUGCCCUAAAUUCUUCAAAGAAAUUUGCCCUAAAUUAUAAAAAUAGGCCUUUUUUUUUUCUUCACCAUAUAAAUUCUCAAAAAUAGCUGUGUCUACAUUUUUUAUAGUUGUUUUUCUCUAUAAUAAUUUUUUUAUUAUUUCAUAGAUUGAUUUGAUAGAGAUCAUGGACGAGCAGCAACUAAUGGAAUAUCUAGAAAAUCAUCCUGGAGAGAUUAAAGUGCCAAAGGUUCAAAAGCCCAAAAAGAAGGUAAUUAACAUUUGUUUUAUUUUUUUUUAAACCAUUGGGAGCAAGUUUUGAUUUCUUUUUUUUUUUUUUUAGUUUUUGCUUUACAUAAUAUAAACUGAAAUACAAUGAAAAAGUCAAUAUUUUCAUUCUGAUCACUUUUCUUUUACUUAUAUUUUUAUUUAUUUAUAAGAUUUGAAUGGGAAAUACUUUUUUUUUUUCAUUUAAUGAUGUAUCUUAUUUUAUGAUAAAUAUUUAUUAUUUUUUACAGUAAUUAUCUUAUAAAUUGUAAGAAGAUAUAUUUUAUUAGUUGGCAUUUUAAAUGGGUAGUUAAUAACAAUUAAAAUAAUUUCAAAAUAAAAUUAAUUCUGAAACUAUUUAUGAAUUUCAUUAUUUUCUUUCAUUGUGGGGCACUUGCUCCCAAUUUCAUUGAACAAUUCACAGCUAGCCAAAGACAAAAACAAGUUUGAAAAUAAUAAAUGAAAGUAAUUAAAGUAGUUAAUUUUCUUUAGAAUGAUCCAAACGGUUGAAAACAAUUGUAACAUUUAAAAAAAAAAUGUUUCUUGUUUUUUUAUAAGUAAAAAACAACACAUCAGAUAAUUUACAUUAAUUUACACAUCUCCUUAAUCAAAUUCUUAAUUGUUUGUUGAUAUUUGAACUAUUCAAUUUGAUAAAAAAAAAGUGUUCCAUAAUAAUAAUAAUAAUAAAAGUAAUAAUAAAUAAAUAAAUAAAAUUUAAAGUUUUUAUUUUGGUACUAUGUUACAGGUCCAAAGCACUGGGAAGCCAAAGUCUUCCACUGGGAUUCUGGCUUCAGUUUUGAGGUUUCACAAAAACUAGUAACAAAAUAAUUUCUGAUUAGUUUCUUAGUUCAUCAGAAUGUCACAAAAGUAUCUGUUUCUUUUUCAAUCUACAAUUUCUAUAAACUCUCUUAAUUUAUCUAAUCUAUUUCGAAUAAAAAUAUAAAUACAGUUUCAAUUUCAAAAAUUCUGAAAAUUUUAAUUUGUUUCAUUAAUAAUUUUAAAUAUGUAUAUUAAUUAAGAACCUUCCUUUUUGUGUGAACUAGCUCGUUUUUUCUGUGCGGG